GAAUCGCAGGACGCUGGAGCACUUCACCAUAAAGCAAGGACAGCUGCAAUGGAAGUGCUGGCUUCCCGGCAAUGUGCCUCCAUCCCUACCCGGAGGGGCCAAGCUCUCGGAGCCAAUGCAGCCAGGAUCCCAGUUCUCUGCUGGUGUUAUCAGUGCAGCUCCAGCCAGUUACAGCAGCAGUGAACGUGUUCCUGGCUCUCCGGCCCCUCCAGGUGAAAGAGAAAAAAAAAAAAGUGCGUGGACACUGCGGCUCCUGCAGCCACAUGCAUGAGCCACCCAAGCUCAAGCCUUGAGUGUCAGGUGGGCUUGAGUGGCUAGCACAAGUCUACUCAGGCUGGGAACUUCACCCGCACCUGCAGCGUAGAGACACCCAUAAAAUCCUUGGUCAUUUUUGUUGCGUCCCAGUUGUGGCUGUGGGUUUGGGAAUGCUGAUCUGAGCUAGGUCUGAAGUAGGCCAGGCACUUCCUGGACACAAGAUAAGACAGAUCCUGCCCCAAACAGCUUAUCAUUGAAGUGUCUGGAAUGCAAGUGGGGUGGAUCAACACAAAAAUAAUUUCCCAGCCUCCUUUCCCACAGGCCAGACAGUCAAGAGAAGUAACGGCUUUGGGUCACUACCCAUCUGGGCUGGAUUUGGACUCCCUAGCCAAUCCUCUCUCUCUGCUAUCCAAUCUGCAUCCCAGCAUGACUUGGGUGGCAGACACUGGUGGCUCUUGGUCCUUCUCAUGUGCUAGCUGGAUUGUACUGAAGCAGAGGGUGUGCAAGCACGAGCAUGUAUUUCACUGGUCUCUACUACAUAGAGUCAGCACCGCUCAACUGUGUGUCAAAGCUCAGUACCGCUAACGGAGAUGCUCCUUCAGAUAAACAGAUUUUAGGAGCCUGUGCUUUGGAAGCAGGAGGAUCUGAAUUCUAUCCGUGCUGACACAGACGUCCAAAGAGGCUGUGACACGAGCAUAAGUGACAACCAUGAAGUCCUGGAGAACCAUGGGUUUGUACACUAAAAUCCUAUUACAAGAGACUGGGAUAUACACCAGGAAGUCCUAGGGUUUUGUCCUCUUGAUAUUUCUGCUUGGCCGUGUGAUCCCUUUGGGAAGGAGCAGCACAUGGUAGCAGAGGAGAAAGGACCUCUCCCAGCAGAAAGGCUGCCACAGUUAUCAGACAGCUUUCCUUCCACCUGGGCUUUGUUAUGUACAUGAAGGGGCAGUGAUAUGAAAUAAAGUGAAAGACGAAUGGAAGAGAAUUAAACUCUUAUCACAGUU